rnacentral:tRNA from 1 species
UCUGUAGCUCAGCCGGAUAGAGCAACGGCCUUCUAAGCCGUGGGUCGGGGGUUCGAAUCCCUUCAGG